UGUGGGAGCGAGCCUGCUCGCGAUAGCGGUGUGUCAGGCGACUUAAUGUUGACUAUCAGUCGGCUAUCGCGAGCAGGCUCGCUCCCACA
rnacentral:misc_RNA from 1 species